rnacentral:rRNA from 1 species
ACAAGCGGCGGAGCAUGCGGAUUAAUUCGAUGCAACGCGAAGAACCUUACAAGGCUUGACAUACACCGGUAACGCCCAGAGAUGGGUGCCCCUUUGUGGUCGGUGGACAGGUGGUGCAUGGUUGUCGUCAGCUCGUGUCGUGAGAUGUUGGGUUAAGUCCCGCAACGAGCGCAACCCUCGUCCUAUGUUGCCAGCGGGUCAUGCCGGGGACUCAUGGGAGACUGCCGGGGUCAACUCGGAGGAAGGUGAGGAUGACGUCAAAUCAUCAUGCCCCUUAUGUCUUGGGCUUCACGCAUGCUACAAUGGCCGGUACAAAGGGCUGCAAUACCGUAAGGUGGAGCGAAUCCCAAAAAGCCGGUCCCAGUUCGGAUUGAGGUCUGCAACUCGACCUCAUGAAGUCGGAGUCGCUAGUAAUCGCAGAUCAGCAACGCUGCGGUGAAUACGUUCCCGGGUCUU